GAUGGCAGAUGGCACAUUGGCACGCAGAAGCCUUCACAAAGCCCUGGCAACGAUGAUGAUGAGGGAGAAGCUUACGGGAUUUGGGAGGCAAGCAAAGGUGCAUAAAUAGGGUAGAAAUGUGUGCAUUGAGCACAAACAUUUUGUUAGGGUAACAAGUCAUGGUGCGCCAGUGCGGCACAUGCCAAGAAGUUGAGGAGCAUGUUUGCAUUGGCUCGCGAGUAAUUCACAAGAGGCUUGCUCAUAGCUGGCUGUACUUACCAUCAUUCAUCAACAUCAUAUUAUUGGCUAUGUGCCGUCGUAGUAGAGGCCGGAGACAUUUCCAUUUUCUAAAAAAAUCAACGUCAUGUUAAAUGCACCUUUUUUACUUGCAGCAACAGGGUUGCGGAUCAUCAUGUUGCCCCGUGCC
rnacentral:lncRNA from 1 species